rnacentral:piRNA from 1 species
UGGUAUCAGUGCACCUUGUACUUGUGAC